rnacentral:rRNA from 1 species
UGCCGGCGACCGGCGCACGGGUGAGUAACGCGUAUCCAACCUUUCGCUUACUCGGGGAUAGCCUUUCGAAAGAAAGAUUACUACCCGAUGGUAUCUUAAGCACGCAUGAGAUUAAGAUUAAAGAUUUAUCGGUAAGCGAUGGGGAUGCGUUCCAUUAGGCAGUUGGCGGGGUAACGGCCCACCAAACCUACGAUGGAUAGGGGUUCUGAGAGGAAGGUCCCCCACAUUGGAACUGAGACACGGUCCAAACUCCUACGGGAGGCAGCAGUGAGGAAUAUUGGUCAAUGGGCGAGAGCCUGAACCAGCCAAGUAGCGUGAAGGAUGACGGCCCUACGGGUUGUAAACUUCUUUUGUGCGGGAAUAAAGGAGCCUACGUGUAGGCUUUUGCAUGUACCGUAACGAAUAAGCAUCGGCUAACUCCGUGCCAGCAGCCGCGGUAAUACGGAGGAUGCGAGCGUUAUCCGGAUUUAUUGGGUUUAAAGGGAGCGUAGACGGGUUUUUAAGUCAGCUGUGAAAGUUUGGGGCUCAACCUUAAAAUUGCAGUUGAAACUGGAGACCUUGAGUACGGUUGAGGCAGGCGGAAUUCGUGGUGUAGCGGUGAAAUGCUUAGAUAUCACGAAGAACUCCGAUUG